GAUGAACGCUGGCGGCGUGCCUAACACAUGCAAGUCGAACGGAGUCCAGCCUUUAAGACCUUCGGGUCAAAGAGGGGAAGACUGAGUGGCGGACGGGUGAGUAACACGUGGGCAACCUGGCUCAUAGAGGGGGAUAACAGAGAGAAAUUUCUGCUAAUACCGCAUAAGCACACACUGCCGCUUGGCAGAGGGUGAAAAGAGAAUCGCUAUGAGAUGGACCCGCGUCUGAUUAGCCAGUUGGCAGGGUAAGAGCCUACCAAAGCGACGAUCAGUAGCCGAUCUGAGAGGAUGAACGGCCACAUUGGGACUGAGACACGGCCCAAACUCCUACGGGAGGCAGCAGUGGGGGAUAUUGCACAAUGGGGGGAACCCUGAUGCAGCGACGCCGCGUGAGUGAAGAAGUAUUUCGGUAUGUAAAGCUCUAUCAGCAGGGAAGAUAAUGACAGUACCUGAAUAAGAAGCCCCGGCUAACUACGUG
rnacentral:rRNA from 1 species